ensembl:lncRNA
CUUACAGUGUUCCAAGAUGAAUAUAAUGGAAUGAAAAGCCAAUGUAAGUCAUUGCUGAUGAUUCUGUACAACGUAGGAGAAGGUUUCAGGAGAGCAACCUGUUUGAAUUCCACCAACAAAGUGAAUGCCUGGAAGAGAAAAUCUGAUCAUUCAAUGCACCAUAGUUAUGCUUUAAAGGAUUUUUCCCAGGAGACAUACAUGACCUGGUUUUUGAUACCUCACACUUUGGUUAAAUGUUUCAGAAGAUGAACUGCAAUUGCAUAGUGUGGGGAUUCUUUUGGCUCAUUGUGCUGUUCUUUCUCGGCUGGCCCAUAAGCAUAGCCUUGUGUGCCCUCCAUGGAUUCCUUUCUCC